rnacentral:lncRNA from 1 species
ACGGCUGCGGCCGAGGCGUUGGACGACGGAGGAGAGGAGGUGCUGGACGGCGGAGGAGAGAGGUAGAUGUGGGUCGCAGGGGAGGGGAGGAGGCGCUGGGCGCUAGGGAAGAGGUCAGGGAGGAGGAGAGCAGCUCGGAUUCUUAGAGGGAGGGAGGGUGGCGGCUGGGAUUGGGAGCAGAUCGAGGCAGAGGAGAGGAGAGGAGGAGGAUAUCGUGGGGGAGAAGAGGACUGGAGGAGGAAGAGGGGUCGUGGGGAGAAGAUAGGAUAUGAAGGAAAUAGG